rnacentral:rRNA from 1 species
CGAGCGGUANCACNNGGAGCUUGCUCCUGGGUGACGAGCGGCGGACGGGUGAGUAAUGUCUGGGAAACUGCCUGAUGGAGGGGGAUAACUACUGGAAACGGUAGCUAAUACCGCAUAACGUCGCAUGACCAAAGAGGGGGACCUUCGGGCCUCUUGCCAUCAGAUGUGCCCAGAUGGGAUUAGCUAGUAGGUGGGGUAAUGGCUCNCCUAGGCGACGAUCCCUAGCUGGUCUGAGAGGAUGACCAGCCACACUGGAACUGAGACACGGUCCAUACUCCUACGGGAGGCAGCANUGGGGAAUAUUGGACAAUGGGCGCGAGCCUGAUGCACCCUUGCCGCGUGUAUGAAGAAGGCCUUCGGGUUGUGAAGUACUUUCAGCGAAGAGGAAGGCAUUGUGGUUAAUAACCGCAGUGAUUGACAUUACUCACAGAANAAGCACCGGCUAACUCCGUGCCAGCAGCCGCG